rnacentral:rRNA from 1 species
UAGCCUUUCGAAAGGAAGAUUAAUACCGCAUAAGAUUGUAGUAUCGCAUGAUAUAGCAAUUAAAGGAGCAAUCCGCUAUAAGAUGGACCCGCGUCGCAUUAGCUAGUUGGUGAGGUAAUGGCUCACCAAGGCGACGAUGCGUAGCCGACCUGAGAGGGUGAUCGGCCACAUUGGGACUGAGACACGGUCCAGACUCCUACGGGAGGCAGCAUG